rnacentral:rRNA from 1 species
GGUGAGUAACACGUGGAUAAUCUGCCUCUAUGAUGGGGAUAACAGUUGGAAACGACUGCUAAUACCGAAUACGCUCAUGAUGAACUUUGUGAGGAAAGGUGGCCUCUGCCUGCAAGCUAUCGCAUAGAGAUGAGUCCGCGUCCCAUUAGCUAGUUGGUGGGGUAACGGCCUACCAAGGCAACGAUGGGUAGCCGAUCUGAGAGGAUGAUCGGCCACACU